AGAAGAAUUGCAUUGAGGGAAGUUGAGUGUCUCUUAUUUGCCUUUCUGUCAGCACCGCCUCCUGAUUGGCUGUACACCAUUUUAAAUCAAUCUCCUCGUGCCGACCUGCGGUUUCUACUGUGUCAUUGCUAGCUUGCAGUUUUUGUAUGUUUACAAGUUUUUCUCUGACAAAACCCACAAUGUUGAUGAAAUAUUAUGUGCCCACAUGGCAGAAGAGGAUGCUAACUAUAUCGCUGGACAUGCUGAAAGAAUGUAGAAGUUACUCGGCUGGACAAAAAAGCACAGACAGGCGAGUGAAACGAGGUGGCCACACCUGCUCUCAUGACCCUGAAGAGUGCGUUGACAUUAUUGCUCUUGAUGGCGUCCCGACAUGCUGAGAUCACUUGAUUCUUGGGUUUACCCACUGAGAAGAAGCAGAAAUGAAAACAAACAUGUGUUUGCGGAGCUCCAGCAGCAGGUUCUGUCUGCGAUGACUGAGCUCUCGAAUGAGAUCCUGUUCAGCGCUGGAGUCCAUGAGAUUCCCUUUCAGCUCUUUUGCAGCAGGCAGAGGCGGCGAUAAGUUGUUUCUGUCCAUCCAACCUGUAGUCUCCUUCCACUACUCCAGCCAUAGAAGAGGAGAAGUGGUCUCUGAAAAUGACUUCGCCUGUGCGGUCGCUUCGUGCAUCAAUCUGGGUUAAACAGGAAAGGGUUAGCAAUAAGUAACAGACGAAGAGGUAUGUGCUGCCUAUACUGACCUUUCCGUUGGACCAGCCAGCGAUGAGCUCCACGACUCCAUCAGCAUCCAAGUCAAAGGCGUGGAUGCUCAUAGCGUGAUUUUUAGACUACAUAGGGAAAGAUAAAAUAUUGCUAUAGAAAUGGCCUCUUAUUGUUAAAAAUAUUAUUAAUGACAUGAUCCUUUAACAUUUUAGAUGACAUAGUAAAAUACCUUGAUCCUCCAGUAGCGAGCACUGCCAUCGUACACUCCUACAGUGCCAUUAGCCAAGGCGUAACCAAACCUGCGACUGUGCAUGUGACACAGUGACGUUACUGUCUAUUUGGAGACAAAUAACCAGGAAAUCAAAUUUAUACCAGUCUGACAAUGUAUUGAAAUAACUAAGCAUUAUCAGCUUUGUAGUGGUCUCAAUUUUGUAUUCAUCCAUUAUUGAGUUGCACUUAUUUAUUGUAGGCUGGUCACGUGUAUGCAACGCAGCAAUGCAUUAUAGAGUGAACUUACCUCAUUUUCAGUCAUCUCACACACAAGUUCAUCCUCUUUGAAAACCCUGAUGUCAAAAUCUUCAGAUCCAACCAGGAGCUAAAAAAAAAAACACACCUUUGUAGUACCUUUCAGUAAUAUGAAAUAACCAUUCACAUACUGUGAAUAGCUGCAGCACCAUGAGUGUCUUAUUUGUUAUUAGAAACUUGCAUAACUUAUAGGGGGCGGCACGGUGGAUGAGUGGGUAGCGCACAGCCUCACCUCACAGCUAGGAGACCAGGGUUCAAUUCCACCCUCGGCCAUCUCUGUGUGGGUUUUCUCCGGGUACUACGGGUUUCCUCCCACAUUCCAAAAACAUGCUAGCCACUCCAAAUUGUCCAUAGGUAUGAAUGUGAGUGUGAAUGGUUGUUUGUCUAUAUGUGCCCUGUGAUUGGCUGGCGACCAAUCCAGGGUGUACCCCGCCUCUCGCCCGAAGACAGCUGGGAUAGGCUCCAGCACCCCCGCGACCCUUGUGAGGAUAAGCGGUAGAAAAUGAAUGAAUGAAUGAAUGAAUGAAACUUAUAGGGGGCGGCACGGCGGAUGAGUGGUUAGCGCGCAGCCUCACCUCACAGCUAGGAGACCAGGGUUCAAUUCCACCCUCGGCCAUCUCUGUGGGUUUUCUCUGGGUACUACGGGUUUCCUCCCACAUUCCAAAAACAUGCUAGGUUAAUUAGCGACUCCAAAUUGUCCAUAGGUAUGAAUGUGAGUGUGAAUGGUUGUUUGUCUAUAUGUGCCCUGUGAUUGGCUGGCGACCAAUCCAGGGUGUACCCCGCCUCUCGCCCGAAGACAGCUGGGAUAGGCUCCAGCACCCCCGCGACCCUCGUGAGGAAAAAGCGGUAGAAAAUUAUGCUUUUCCACUUUUCUGACCUAUACAUAUUGUUACAAUGUUGUAUUCUCGUAUUAAACGAUGCCAAAGCGUCACAUAAUAAGGAUUUCGCAUUUGGAAGUGAGCCCUGAAAGAAGUUUUGGGUUUUACCGAGUUCGAGUCAAUGCAACCCAGACUUCCUUAUAUGGGCUGUAAGUAACAAUUUAUCAGUGUCCAAACUUUUGUAGAAGUAACGGGACAAAUGAGCUCGGCAGCUGUCCGGAAGUCCUCGGGAGCGCUUGAGAGUGUGACCAGUAACUUAAACAGACCGUUUGGGCAGGAAGUAAGAAAUCCAUGGAAACACUGCAGCAUCUGGAAGAUCUAGAAAGCUUUCUGUGUGGGUUAUUGUGUGAAGCUGUUCUAUAGGAGUUCACAAAAAUGAAAAUGAGCAUAAUAGGUCCCUUUUAAUGAUACUAAUGCUUUUUCCCCCUGCGCUUUUAAAAUUGUAUGUAUACAUUUCUUGCAAAAGUACCACUUUAUUCUUAUAAUAUUGGGAAUUUAAUGUUUUUAUGUUUCCUUCUAAAUGAUCCACAGGUAUGAAUGUGAGCGUGAAUGGUUGUUUGUCUAUAUGUGCUCUGAUUGGCUGGAGACCAGUCCAGGGUGUACCCCGCCUCUCGCCCGAAGACAGCUGGGAUAGGCUCCAGCACCCCCCGCGACCCUCGUGAGGAUAAGUGGUAGAAAAUGAAUGAUUGAAUGAAUGAAACUUAUACGGGCUUACCUCAUUUUUGCCAUCUCCAGUAAAGUCACAAAGCACAAGGGAUCUCACAUUAUCUCCAGUUACCUUAGAAAAAAAUGUUUUUCAAAAUCGACAAAUGUAGACAUAAUUAACUGUUUAACGUUGCCAGUGUAAAAUAUAAAGAGGGCUUUUAACAUUUGUUAUUUCUUAGUUCUUACAGUCCAGAAGUGGUCAUUGCCAUGAGAGUCAAAGCCUUGUAUGGCACAGUUGCCGCCAAUGAUGGAAAGAGGAUUCGGUAUGUCCCCUAGCUUCCCUAGCACUAUAGCGUUGGCCCCAUCGGACACCUACACAAACACACACCGAAAUAAAGUGAGAGAGCAAUUAGAGGAAUGAAUUACCUGUGCAAAAUGACAACACGUACCUCUUUGUAGAAUAUGUCUACGUUGUCAUGGACAUCAUAGGCCAGCAGGUUGGUCUGAGAUCCCACCAGCAGUGUGUCACCAGUGGUGUCUAGUCCCAGUGUGCCUGCAGUCAGACAUGUGACUGCCUGGUUGAUGUUGAGCAGAGAGACGUCUGAAUCCUGUGUGCUUUGGCUCAGACGGUGAGACGCAGGUCUUUGAGCACGAGUGUGAGGGUUGUGGAUAAAAACCUUAAAUAAGAAAAUUCAAAAGUAAGCUUUGGGAACUACAAGAUAACGUUUCAUAUAAAAAAUGUUUAAUGUUCACCUUUCCAGCUUGUGUGGCUGCAGUGAGGCAUGGGUGGACGCCAUCAAAUUUUCCUAUAGUCACCAUGCGAGGGUUUAUUUUAUGGCUCAGUUUGAGAGUAAAAAUGGGCACCAACAUGAUUCAUAUGCUCCUGAAAAGGGAAAAAAAGAGCUUUGAUUAUAAAUCAAACAAAUCAGUACUUAAGUGGACCAGCAGUUUGUAGCCAUGCAUGUUAGCAGUUCACAAUGCGUGAUUUUGUGGCACUAAUGUCAUUACCAGAUUUGCACUAGCGUUCUGUUGCCUAGCAACAAAAAAGUGUCACGCCAUAAUCUCCUGUAGUUUGGUCAACGGUCCUAUUUAUAUAGCAAUAAGAAUGCUAUGCAUACGGUUUCGCGAUUGUACUAUGGUACGCCAUCAAUACCAAGUAGAGUAACAACUAAUAGAAGCUAAUAACAAUUCGCCUUCAGUGGCUUAAGAGGCUAGCAUAGCAGAGCUAACGUGAACGACACUAAAUCAAUAAACUACAAGAUAGCAGAGAAAGGAAACAAAGCGUGUACGUACAAGUCCUCUGGCGAUAUCCCGAACUCAAAAUAACAAAACAAUCUUUUUUUUUUAAUUAAAACGAGAUUCAGUACUAAGACAACAGCGGAAGAAAAACGAUUAGGAGCUUUGCUAUUCACUACCAUUUCCUAUAUAAGUUUUUCAAAAUAAAAGUUUUUUAAAAGACCGCGCGUCUUAGGAGAUCAAUGAAGCAAGUGAAUACAAAAUGGUGUUUUUUGGUAGAAGUGACGUUUGAGUGCAAAAGCAGUAUGGCUCAUGAAACACAGCUUUUUGCCGUGCUUAUUUAUUGAAAUUGGCAUAUAUAGCUAUUCCAUUAUUAAUAUCUGGUCAAACAAUAAACCUUUUUACCUUGUAAUUAACCUGGAGAUAUACUCUUUGGUUUGAUGCAUGUCAAGUGGUGGAUGUGGAGUGUGCCCAUCUGCCAUACAAGGUGACUUGAUAAGCAAAUGGGCUCUAAACACAAAUAAAUGGCGCCCUGAGCAAUUGACCUUAUGGCCGAAAGCUAGAACCAUCACUGACGAGGGGUGUCCAAAGUACAUAAGGGGAUCAUUUACCACCCACUGCCCUUUUUUUGGCUCUCAGCAUAUUUUGAAAUUUUAAAAUUAUUAGUAAGUUGGUUUGUCUCAUGAGAUUUCUCAUUGAAAACAAUUCUUUAUAAAUACCUUACACACAAAUCAUGGAUGUCUCAAGAAAAUAUAAAAAAAUUGAGAGGCAAAAGUCUGAAAAUAUUUACAUUUUAAUAUAAAAAAACAUGAAUACCAAAAUAGUUGUCAAUUCAUUGGAUAAUCUAACAAUCAUUGAUGAAUUGUUGCAGCUCCAAUGCAAAACUCGUCUACGGUCGUCCUUGGUGCUGCUUUUAAGGACCCAGAGGAAAUCGGAAAGUCUUGUUCCCUGUGCGGCAGCGCAGUUCUGCACAGUCCAGCCACAGAUGAUACGGCCCCUCUUCAUGAUUAUCAACCACAUUCUGAGCAAUGAAAGAAGAGUCAGUGAUCAUCGCCGUAACACACAGGUACAUACUAGGUAGUGGAACAGCACCUGAAGCUCCUGAAGGCACUGCCUCAAUUGCGAAGUGAAGUCUCCAACACACCAGGCCAGGCUAACAUGGAAAGAUGGAUCCUACAAGACACAGCGGUAGCGAUAUGAGGAUGUGCAAGAUAAAACGUAGAGAUAGUUAAAUAUAUUGUCGUUGUACUCAUCGAUAACCUGAUAAAAAGUAUCCAGGUGAAACUCUGUCAUUGCUUUAUCAAUGACUUGGACUACAUCCAGCAACUGUUUAUGCCCAUUUAGUACUUCCAUCCCAAGGAAAGUCCUGUAGAGAAAAAGUCAGAUACUCGGUAAAUGAGUAUCUUGAGUUUAAGGAGAAAAUUAUAGUUUUAUACAAAGAGGAUUCAGACUUUACCUUGUCUUCUCUGCAUUACAAUAAACCUUAAGUCUACCCGCUGAGCACACAAAUCUGCAAACACACAUUUGAGCUCUUUUUACAACUCAAAAAUUGUGCACUCAACAAAAGUAUAAACAUAACACUUAUUUUUGCUCCCAUUUUUCAUGAGCUGAACUAAAAAAAAAAAUGGAUACUACCGACCCACCACCACAAGAUGCAAACCUUUUGCAGCGUGCCAGGCCGGCUUUGAGGUUCUGUGUGAAGGGCUGGAUCCAAUGGUGUCUCAGCACCACCGUCUGAGAGAGGCUAAGAUGGAGCUCCUCCUGCUGGGUCAAAACCACACCAA